rnacentral:lncRNA from 1 species
CCCAGUGGUGCAGCAGUUAAGUGCUCACAUUCUGCUUCCCAGUGGCCCAGGGUUCACGGGUUCAGGUCCCGGGUGCGGACACGGCACCGCUUGGCACACCAUGCUGAGCCAUGGUAACCAUCUGGCCUGCUGGACUGCUUCUUGAGUGCAGGACCAUGUCUGAUUCAAGUCUACAUCCAGAGCACAUAGAGCAAGUUCUGGGACAUAAAAUAAAAAAGAGUCGCUCAAGAGAGAAUCCAUCCAUCCAUCAGUUGAAUGCCUUCACAGUCCGUCAAAGAACUCUUGCUGACUGAUCAUGCUAUUGCUCUCUCUGCCAAUGGAAUUGCAACUGCUUCCUAGUCCCCUAAUCACCGUCUAUUCCUUAACCACCCCCUAUAGGACAGGACCACUAUUCUGGGAGGUCUUUCAGACUUAUCUAGAACGUGGCAUGUUUCCUGACAUCCAUACCAACAUUUAGGUCUGGGCUCUGCUUCUAACUCAUUGUCUGUGAUGGCACGUCUUUAGGUCUUGUAGCGCCGUUUUUAAAAAGGAACAGUUUUGCAAUAUGAUUUCUGAAGUCUCUUCUAACCCGAGUGUGCUAGAAUUUUCUGUCUGGAAUCUAGAAUUUCUGGUAAAGAUGAGACAGACUUAUUCGAGGCCUUCAUAUCGGCAUCAUAUGGCCUGUUGGUUGGAGCCUGGAUGAUGAGCCACUGUAGUCUGGGCUUUUCCUGAGGUCUGCCUUGCUGGUGGCAGAGUUUCUUUAACAGUCGUGCUCCAGCAGGCUCUGGCCACCCCCACGGGCAACUCAGUGAAUACUGGCUGCCUGAUGGAUGUGUUAGAUGGGAAGCCAACUGGAUGAAGGAUGCGUGAGGAGCCCUGGAAAACACAGUGGUUCAAAGGGGAGGGCUGCGCCGAGCAGGUUCCCAAAUGUGCUUACCCGCCCAGGCUCUGAACGCGAGCUCCGUUGGAAAAACACGUGUUUCUGACUCCAAGGGAAAGGCUCUAGGAAUAAUAAUAAUAAAAGGGGCUUUGAAAGCUUCUUGGAAAUCAGCUUCUAUAAAAUAGUGUUUUGAGAAAUUGAGCGCAAGUCAAGCAGAAACAUGGAUUGAAAUUCUCCCUUCGCAUACUCAUUCUUUUAAAAUAUUUUAUUUUUAAAUAUGAAAAUAAUCUGUGCAUAUGGCUAAAGAAUCCAAACAGUAAAGAAAAGCACAGAAUUCAAAGCAAAAAUCUCCCUUCCUUCCUCUCUUUUCAUGUCUCAUGAGGUAACAGUUUAUUUCUGUUUUGUGUGCGAUUACUAUGUGAGUUUAUAAAAAUUAAAAAAAAUUAUUGUGGUAAAAUAUGCAUAACAUAAAAUUUACCAUUUUAACCAUUUUUGAGUGUAUAUAGUUCAUUGGCAUUAAGUACAUUCACAUUGUUGUGCAACC